rnacentral:rRNA from 1 species
CAAUAGCGUAUAUUAAAGUUGUUGCAGUUAAAAAGCUCGUAGUUGGAUUUCUGGUGGGAGCGAUCGGUCUGGCGCUUAGCGCGAGUACUUGCAUCGUCUCCGGCCAUCCUUGGGGAGAGUCUGUCUGGCAUUAGGUUGUCGGGCAGAGGAUCCUCAUCGUUUACUGUGAAAAAAUUAGAGUGUUCAAAGCAGGCUUAUGCCGUUGAAUAUAUUAGCAUGGAAUAAUAAGAUAGGACUUUGGUACUAUUUUGUUGGUUUGCGCACCAAAGUAAUGAUUAAUAGGGACAGUUGGGGGUAUUCGUAUUCCGUUGUCAGAGGUGAAAUUCUUGGAUUUUUGGAAGACGAACUACUGCGAAAGCAUUUACCAAGGAUGUUUUCAUUAA